AGAGUUUGAUCCUGGCUCAGAGCGAACNNUGCGGCAUGCUUAACACAUGCAAGUCUGACGGGCCGGGCAACCGGUCAGUGGCGGACGGGUGAGUAACGCGUAGGAACGUAUCCACGGCUGGGGGAUAACGCCUGGAAACGGGCGCUAAUACCGCAUGGGUCCUGAGGGACAAACCGCGAGGCGGCUGUGGAGCGGCCUGCGUCCGAUUAGGUAGUUGGUGGGGUAAAGGCCUACCAAGCCUACGAUCGGUAGCUGGUCUGAGAGGACGACCAGCCACACUGGGACUGAGACACGGCCCAGACUCCUACGGGAGGCAGCAGUGGGGAAUAUUGGGCAAUGGGCGAAAGCCUGACCCAGCAAUGCCGCGUGGGUGAAGAAGGUCUUCGGAUUGUAAAGCCCUUUCGGCGGGGACGAUGAUGACGGUACCCGCAGAAGAAGCCCCGGCUACUUCGUGCCAGCAGCCGCGGUAAUACGAAGGGGGCUAGCGUUGCUCGGAAUUACUGGGCGUAAAGGGCGCGUAGGCGGCGCACCAAGUCAGGCGUGAAAUUCCUGGGCUCAACCUGGGGGCUGCGCUUGAGACUGGUGUGCUUGAGGAUGGAAGAGGCUCGUGGAAUUCCCAGUGUAGAGGUGAAAUUCGUAGAUAUUGGGAAGAACACCGGUGGCGAAGGCGGCGAGCUGGUCCAUUACUGACGCUGAGGCGCGACAGCGUGGGGAGCAAACAGGAUUAGAUACCCUAGUAGUCC
rnacentral:rRNA from 1 species